rnacentral:rRNA from 1 species
GAAAGCGUGGGUAGCAANCAGGAUUAGAUACCCUGGUAGUNCACGCCCUAGACGAUGUCAAUUAGCUGUUGGGGCACUUGAUGCCUUAGUAGCGAAGCUAACGCGUGAAAUUGACCGCCUGGGGAGUACGGUCGCAAGAUUAAAACUCAAAGGAAUUGACGGGGACCCGCACAAGCGGUGGAUGAUGUGGAUUAAUUCGAUGCAACGCGAAGAACCUUACCUGGUCUUGACAUGUACGGAAUCUUCCAGAGACGGAAGAGUGCCUUCGGGAGCCGUAACACAGGUGCUGCAUGGCUGUCGUCAGCUCGUGUCGUGAGAUGUUGGGUUAAGUCCCGCAACGAGCGCAACCCUUGUCAUUAGUUGCCACCAUUCAGAUGGGCACUCUAAUGAGACUGCCGGUGACAAACCGGAGGAAGGUGGGGAUGACGUCAAGUCCUCAUGGCCCUUAUGACCAGGGCUUCACACGUCAUACAAUGGUCGGUACAGAGGGUAGCCAAGCCGCGAGGUGGAGCCAAUCUCAGAAAACCGAUCGUAGUCCGGAUUGCACUCUGCAACUCGAGUGCAUGAAGUCGGAAUCGCUAGUAAUCGCAGGUCAGCAUACUGCGGUGAAUACGUUCCCGGGUCUUGUACACACCGCCCGUCACACCAUGGGAGUGGGGGAUACCAGAAGUAGGUAGGCUAACCG